UGCAGCAGUUGCAUAGUUAACAGAAUCUGCAGCACCAGAAACAGCCGGGUUGGUUUGUCCGGUGGUUGGCCGUGGACUGUUAGAAUCCCUUUCACUGGGCAUAAAUGAGCCUGUUCGUAUCCUCACAUUGAUAUUCCUUGUAACUUCAGCAUUUCCAAUAGGGGUUGUCCCAAAACUUGUUCCAGAUCGGAAAGGGAAUGGCUGAACCAUCAUAGGAUUUGGGCCUAACGUUGAUAUAAAUAGAGGAGGUCCAGAAUUUACCACAGCAUCAGCCGGUGUUUGGCCCACUCGUAAUGUCAUUAUUGUACGAAGUUCGAGUAGCAAAGCACCCAAAUUCUGGAAAAGAGCCCCAUAUCUAAGACUGUUUGCCUGAAAACUCAUCCGAACUGAUGGAUCUGUAACAUUUGCUUGAUCC
rnacentral:misc_RNA from 1 species